rnacentral:tRNA from 1 species
CAUUAAGAAGCUAUGGAUCAGCACUAGCCUUUUAAGCUAGAGAAAGAGGAAUAGACAACCUCCUUAAUGA